CCCACACCCAUGUGUGUAGGACCCCAAAGGAUCACCAUUAAAUUUGGCACAGAUCUCUAGAAAAGUUAUCACAUGGGUGUGGGACUUGACUUUUCUAGAGAUCUGUGUAAAAUUUAAUGGUGAUCCUUUGGGGUCCUACACACAUGGAUGUGGG
rfam:Amborella trichopoda AMTR_V1.0_contig_17181, whole genome shotgun sequence.